AACGAACGCUGGCGGCAUGCCUAACACAUGCAAGUCGAACGAGACCUUCGGGUCUAGUGGCGCACGGGUGCGUAACGCGUGGGAAUCUGCCCUUGGGUUCGGAAUAACUUCGGGAAACUGAAGCUAAUACCGGAUGAUGACGUAAGUCCAAAGAUUUAUCGCCCAAGGAUGAGCCCGCGUAGGAUUAGCUAGUUGGUGAGGUAAAGGCUCACCAAGGCGACGAUCCUUAGCUGGUCUGAGAGGAUGAUCAGCCACACUGGGACUGAGACACGGCCCAGACUCCUACGGGAGGCAGCAGUGGGAAUAUUGGACAAUGGGCGAAAGCCUGAUCCAGCAAUGCCGCGUGAGUGAUGAAGGCCUUAGGGUUGUAAAGCUCUUUUACCCGGGAUGAUAAUGACAGUACCGGGAGAAUAAAGCUCCGGCUAACUCCGUGCCAGCAGCCGCGGUAA
rnacentral:rRNA from 1 species